rnacentral:tRNA from 1 species
ACCUUCGUGGUGUAGUGGUCAGCACGCUCGUCUCGUAACUGAGGGCUCCGUGGUUCGAUUCCCCGCGAAGUCG